rnacentral:lncRNA from 1 species
AUCAAAAUGGCGAAUGCGCUUCCACGGUUGAUAUUUUCAUGUGAAUUAUGUUUGUAGAGGGCUUUCGUUCAGUUUAGACUUCGCAGAUUGACAGGAAAAGAGUUCAUUUAUUGAAAGUAUGUGGAAGUUCUAGCCGUUUAGGAAUCGACCAGAAAUCGUUUUUGUACACAUGUGUAGAAUGGACGUCGAAAACGACAUGGAUUGAAAAUCGUGAUGCCUGAGUACCAUAGCGUCAACACUUUCACUAAGGCUUUCCUUAUGAGAACCAUCUAUGGAACCAGAUUGAAUCAGAGAAAUGUAAAAAAUAGCCGCCGGAUGCAAGAAAGAAAAAACACCAACUCAAAACAUACCAUCAAACACACCACCAAAUCAACUGCGGCAAAUGGUGUUUCAACAACGGGCUCAACAGUGUUGCCUUUUGGACAUCAAAAUUCAUCUAAAUGGAAUUAGUUUUAUUUUAGUAUGAUUUUCAUUAUAGUUCCUUGAAGUCACCAGAAAUGCAUAGAGAAGAUCAGAAGUGAAAGAGACUUCAAGUGUUAAAGUUAAUCCAACUGCUCGGAAUUACUUCUUUUUUUAUAUUAUAUGUAGAAUCUAGUAAUUUAGACCCUGGAAGCAUGUUUUAUUUGUAAUGAAAUUCCUGUGUUUCUAGUACUCGGUAUAGUUAACAUUAUGAGUUAAUAAUAUGUAUUAAAUGAUGCACUUUUUGAUCAUAGUAAAAUCAAAAAAUAAAGUUAUCAAGUAGGUGGAAAGGGGAGGGUAACACUUUUCAUUUUGCAGCAUUAAAAUCUACAGUCAGAGCAAAAGAAAGAAAGGAAUGAUAAAUAGAUAGAAGAAAAAGACAGGGAUAAGUUAGGGUUAAAAUGGACAGCCUGGCUCGUAUUUACUCAAUUUUCUGGAGUUCCAAAGGAAUUGUGUAUAGUUUUGAGUCUUAUGAUAAUGUUUUUUUUUCCAGUAUUUUUAUGUUUAGUUUGAAGCAAACAAAUUCGAAAAGAAAAAACUGAUUAGUCCUAGUUAAAUUUACUUGCAAGUAAGAAGAAAAAAGUGCAAGUCUUUUUACAAUUUUAAGGUACUAAUUCAACUGAACUCUAUUGUCAAAUUCAUCAUGUAAAUGAUAUUUGUAAGAUACUUUGGUGCUGUUGCCAUAUUUGAAAUAUUUGUAUCUAGUUAUAUGUUUCAUGAAAUAAAAAGAAAUCAAACA